GGGGAUGUGGUCCUCGAGUUCUUGCUGCAGGGUCUGCGACCGGCCACCGCGUACGCGCUGCGCCUCGCUGCCGUCAACGACAUCGGCGACAGCGACUACUCCGACCCCGUCAUCGUGCACACCCUGGAAGAAGAGCCCUCCGAGCCACCUCGCAAUAUUGAAAUACAAGCGGACGCGCCCGGCGAGCUGCUUGUCAAAUGGCAGGCGCCUUCGCAAGAGUCGUGGAACGGCGAGCUGCUGGGCUAUGCAGUGUGGUGGCGCGGCGACAACGCGUCUCACGCGCUCACCGUGCCCG